rnacentral:rRNA from 1 species
GGCUUCCAGAAGUUGAACGCUGGCGGCAGGCCUAACACAUGCAAGUCCGAGCGGAUGACGGGAGCUUUGCUCCUUUGAUUCAGCGGCGGACGGGUGAGUAAUGCCUAGGAAUCUGCCUGGUAGUGGGGGACAACGUUUCGAAAGGAACGCUAAUACCGCAUACGUCCUACGGGAGAAAGCAGGGGACCUUCGGGCCUUGCGCUAUCAGAUGAGCCUAGGUCGGAUUAGCUAGUUGGUGGGGUAAUGGCUCACCAAGGCGACGAUCCGUAACUGGUCUGAGAGGAUGAUCAGUCACACUGGAACUGAGACACGGUCCAGACUCCUACGGGAGGCAGCAGUGGGGAAUAUUGGACAAUGGGCGAAAGCCUGAUCCAGCCAUGCCGCGUGUGUGAAGAAGGUCUUCGGAUUGUAAAGCACUUUAAGUUGGGAGGAAGGGCAGUAAGUUAAUACCUUGCUGUUUUGACGUUACCGACAGAAUAAGCACCGGCUAACUCUGUGCCAGCAGCCGCGGUAAUACAGAGGGGCGGCCAAGCGUUAUAUCGGGAAUUACGUGGGCAGAAAAGGCGCGCGUGUAGGUGGUUUCAUUAAGUUGGAAUGAGAAACGCCCGCGGGUCUCAACCUGGGAACUGCAUCCAAAACUGGCGAGCUAGAGUACGGUAGAGGGUGGGUAGAAUCUCCUGGUGUAGCGGUGAAAUGCGUAGAUAUAGGAAAGAAACACCAGUGGGCGAAGGCGACCACCUGGACUGAUACUGACACUGAGGUGCGAACACCAGUGGCGAAGGCGACAACAUGGACUAGAUACUGACACUGGUAGUCCACGCCGUAAAGCGAUGGGGAGCAAACUAGCCGAUGAGAUACCCUUGAGAUUUUAGUGGCGCACGCCGUAAACGAUGUCAACUAGCCGUUGGAAUCCUUGAGAUUUUAGUGGCGCAGCUAACGCAUUAAGUUGACCGCCUGGGGAGUACGGGCCGCAAGGUUAAAACUCAAAUGAAUUGACGGGGGCCCGCACAAGCAGCUGGAGCAUGUGGUUUAAAUUCGUAAGCAACCCGAAAAACCUUAUCCAGGCCUUGACAUGCUAGAGAACAUUUCCAGAAAAUGAGAUUGGUUGUCCUUCCUGGAACUACUUGACACCAGAAGACGUGCAUGGCUGUCGUCAGCUCGUGUCGUGAGAUGUUGGGUUAAGUCCCGUAACGAGCGCAACCCUUGUCCUUAGUUACCAGCACGUUAUGGUGGGCACUCUAAGGAGACUGCCGGUGACAAACCGGAGGAAGGUGGGGAUGACGUCAAGUCAUCAUGGCCCUUACGGCCUGGGCUACACACGUGCUACAAUGGUCGGUACAGAGGGUUGCCAAGCCGCGAGGUGGAGCUAAUCUCACAAAACCGAUCGUAGUCCGGAUCGCAGUCUGCAACUCGACUGCGUGAAGUCGGAAUCGCUAGUAAUCGCGAAUCAGAAUGUCGCGGUGAAUACGUUCCCGGGCCUUGUACACACCGCCCGUCACACCAUGGGAGUGGGUUGCACCAGAGGUAGCUAGUCUAACCUUCGGGAGGACGGUUACCACGGUGUGAUUCAUGACUGGGGUGAAGUCGUAACAAGGUAACCGUAAAUCGGU